rnacentral:rRNA from 1 species
AUUGAACGCUGGCGGCAUGCCUUACACAUGCAAGUCGAACGGCAGCGCGGGAGCAAUCCUGGCGGCGAGUGGCGAACGGGUGAGUAAUAUAUCGGAACGUGCCCAGUAGUGGGGGAUAGCCCGGCGAAAGCCGGAUUAAUACCGCAUACGACCUACGGGUGAAAGGGGGGGAUCGCAAGACCUCUCGUUAUUGGAGCGGCCGAUAUCAGAUUAGGUAGUUGGUGGGGUAAAGGCCUACCAAGCCUGCGAUCUGUAGUUGGUCUGAGAGGACGACCAGCCACACUGGGACUGAGAAACGGCCCGGACGCCUACGGGAGGCAGCAGUAGGGAAUUUUGGACAAUGGGCGCAAGCCUGAUCCAGCAAUGCCGCGUGCAGGAAGAAGGCCUUCGGGUUGUAAACUGCUUUUGUCAGGGAAGAAAUCCUCUAGGCUAAUACCUUGGGGGGAUGACGGUACCUGAAGAAUAAGCACCGGCUAACUACGUGCCAGCCGCCGCGGUAAAAC